rnacentral:rRNA from 1 species
GUAGGGAAUAUUGGGCAAUGGAAGGAAUUCUGACCCAGCCAUGCCGCGUGCAGGAAUACAGUCCUAUGGACUUUAAACUGCUUUUAUUAUAGAGUAACCUGGGGGACGUGUCCCCCACUGCAAGUAUAUAAUGAAUAAGCAUCGGCUAACUCCGUGCCAGCAGCCGCGGUAAUACGGGGGAUGCAAGCGUUAUCCGGAUUUAUUGGGUUUAAAGGGUGCGCAGGCUGAUCGGUAAGUCAUGGGUGAAAAGUCACUGCUUAACAGUGAUCGUGCCUAUGAUACUGCCGGACUAGAGUUUAAGAGGUGUAACUGGAAUGUGAUGUGUAGCGGUGAAAUGCUUAGAUAUGUCACAGAACGCCAAUCGUGAAGACAGGUUACAAACUUAAUACUGACGCUCAUGCACGAAAGCGUGGGGAUCAAACAGGAUUAGAUACCCGGGUAGUCC